rnacentral:rRNA from 1 species
UACGUAGGGGGCAAGCGUUAUCCGGAUUUACUGGGUGUAAAGGGAGCGUAGACGGAGCAGCAAGUCUGAUGUGAAAGACGGGGGCUCAACCCCCGGACUGCAUUGGAAACUGUUGAUCUUGAGUACCGGAGAGGUAAGCGGAAUUCCUAGUGUAGCGGUGAAAUGCGUAGAUAUUAGGAGGAACACCAGUGGCGAAGGCGGCUUACUGGACGGUAACUGACGUUGAGGCUCGAAAGCGUGGGGAGCAAACAGG